ACAGCUGAAGAGGUCUCCCUCCAGAUCCAGGCAGGCUCAUUGUUCUCAGUCUUCCUGAACUGACAAAUCUCCCAGGGACAUAGUAGGAGAGCUUGCUGGAAUAACUAACAAAGGUUCAUCUCUUUCAUAUUUCCUGUCUGAGAAAGGAUUCUCAGAGAAGUCCAGCACAAAAAUAACGGGGAAUGUUUUAAGGAGGACCAACAGGCUACAGACUUUCUGGGAAGUGGAAGCAGGUCACAGAUCAGCAGUGAUAGCAUCUGCUACACCGACAUGCCAGAGAUCCCAACAGGGCUUGCAUCAAGGAAAUCCUCAGAGCAGGUUUUUCACAGUGGAAAAAAAAACCCAUCUUUGCAGAGGUCUGACUCAGUGUUUGCAAGUCGUGGAGUACCAGCAUUAUUUUUUAAGAGACGUUCUCAGCUUCAGCAGCGCCCCAGAGCUGGGAUGCAGGCAGCAGGAAGUCAGUACAUGCAUGGGAGAAAAACUCUUCCAGAACAUGUGACCAAAAUGAGUGCGUAUGGAAGCAAUCACAACUUUAAUUGUUGUUUCUGGAAGUUUGUAGGAUCAUAUUUACUUCUUUGAAGUUUCGGAGAUGUAAUCCAAAGGUGAACUGAGAUAGCUCUGUGAACUACGCUCCAGGUUCUUCCAUCCAGAGUAAUUUAAAAUACAUCUCCCUGCAGAUCAUACA